rnacentral:rRNA from 1 species
GAUGAACGCUGGCGGCGUGCCUAAUACAUGCAAGUAGAACGCUGAAGGAGGAGCUUGCUCUUCUGGAUGAGUUGCGCACGGGUGAGUAACGCGUAGGUAACCUGCCUGGUAGCGGGGGAUAACUCUUGGAAACGAUAGCUAAUACCGCAUGACAACAGUUAUUGCAUGAUAACUGUUUAAAAGGGGCAACUGCUCCACUACCAGAUGGACCUGCGUUGUAUUAGCUAGUUGGUGAGGUAACGGCUCACCAAGGAGACGAUACAUAGCCGACCUGGGAGGGGGGUCGGCCACACUGGGACUGGGACACGGCCCAGACCUCUACGGGAGGCAGCAGGAGGGAAAUUUCGGCAAUGGACGGAAGGCUGAACGGGGAACGGCGCGUGAGUGAAGAAGGGUUUCGGGUCGGAAAGAUCUGUUGUAAGAGAAGAACGAUAGUGGGAGGGGAAAGUUCACACUGUGACGGUAUCUUACCAGAAAGGGACGGCUAACUACGUG